ACGUGUGCAAUAAUUUCAACCACCGUACUGGUUGUUCGAAGCUAAGUCUCGCUCCUCCAUUUUUCGCUUAAAUCAAAAUAUGGCUGAACCAUUCUAAUCUAUUUAACAUCGGAGAAAUCUGUUGCCAUCGAGAGUUGAUUAAGGCCUGGAUCAGUUAAUUAAUGUCUAAUUAAUAGUUUAGAAAACAUUUCAGGCCUAAAGAAAGACCUGCAAUAAGCAGAUUUAGCUCUUGCAUAAUGCAUGUUUUAACUACAGAUUAUUUAAAAUAAACAUAUUUAUUUUCAGGGAUAUCACAAGCUACGUACAGAAGAGCUGUGAAAGGUUUAGAAGAGAUAGCAUGGAAAUGUGUAUCGUGUUUAAACGCCUAUCCUGCUGUUGCCGAGGUUUUUUUGUCGGACGACGACAUGGAAACGAAUGAAACCAGUACCGGGUUUGAUUUCGCUCCUGAUGAAGGCCCGAACGUAUCCAACACCCCUAAUGGAGAAUCCUUUACAGUAGAUCGGUCUAUCACGCUACCAGAACCCAUAUUAGACGAUUCCAUCGAGGAAGACGCUCCGGUGUUUGAUGUCGCUCCUGAAGAAGGUCCGAGAUAUACUGUUGUUUCCGAGGCAUCAAAGAGGGGUCAACCCAAGUUACUGGACAGAGAGGGUUAUUCCUACACGUUUAAGAAACAAUCCACCAAUGGAAAUAAACACUGGAGGUGCAGCUAUCGCCAGAAACAUUUAUACUGCCCCGCAACAGUGAUACAAACCGCCGACAUUUUUCUCCUGGGUUUAAAGGACCAUGUCCAUUCCGCGGAGCCCGGUAUACAUAUUGCCAUCAACAUUACGGCAGAAGUUCGAAAGAAUUCCGAUAAGGACAUGUUUACGACGUCGGCCCCUUGUUACGUCAAGCAAGUGUACGGAAAAUUGGGAUCUGACACUGUGCCCCAUUACAGCCGUCCAAAACUUGGUAAUUUGGUUAGGGCCGUGAAUCGACAAAGACAGGCUAUACGGACAAAAAGAUCAGGACAAGUCGGCUAUUGAGAGAAUGCGCUUUUAUGUAUGGUCCAUCUGUGGAAGCAUCCGAAUAAAAUUGUAUGUAUUGAUAAUUUUAAAGGGCUUAUACCCGAUAUUUUUUUGGAGAAUAAAACUGCUUUAUUUUAUGUUAUUAUAAUCCCUUAAAAGCCUUUAUAUUUGUGAUAAGUUUUCGAAAAUCUGGAAACGGAGACUGGUGUAACAAGUUGUAUUAUGCAAUGUCUGGAUAAAACCAGACUUUUAUUUUAUAAAAAAAAAUAAUGUGUAGGUGAAAUCUAUCAAGUGCAGCACAUGAGGCAUUUACUGUAUAGACCUCUCAAGGAACGGGAAUCGAUUAUCAGGUCAUCCAAGUUCCAACGAACAAAUUGACCCGAAAUCUUAAAACGGUUACGUGUCCGUAUAAACAGUUUUGACGUUCACGUCCAAACGACUCAAUAUUUUGAGCUGGAAUUUUGAGACAAGGUAACUACACCCUUCCUCUAUAAUUCGACGCUUUAAUUUCAUACGUACACCGACUUUUAUUUUUAAGACUCUAUUCAAAUCGGGAUAGUGAUUAUUAAUAAACUUGCUGUUAAUUGCGCUUCAGUUUGGAUGUCAAAUAUGCUAUACUACAUGUACUGAUGCACCAAAAGCGAUUGUCAUUGCUACCAUUGUGACGAUAGUAAAACAGAGUCUCCAUCCAUUAAAUUGAAUUAUUCAUGGUAUUUAAAUCCAUUGCAAAUUUGAUGAUUCGAUGACAUCGACAGCUGAUUAUGACCUUGGGAAGUUAAUUAAUGUCUAAUUAAACAUUUAUUAUGCAAGAGCUAAAUCUGCCUAUUGCAGGCCUUUCUUUGGGCCUGAAAUGUUAUCUAACUAAACUAUUAAUUAGACAUUUAUUAACAAAACAAGACAAGACCAUAAUCAACUCUCGAUGGCAUCGGAUACUCGUGAGUUUAAAUAGAUUAGAACGGUUCGCUAUUUAAAAGUUUAAUUUAAAAAUGGGAAAGCGACGCUAAGUCGCGAAUAUACCAGUGCCCUGGUUACCACUAUGCACGCAACUUGUCAAAACUACGAACUGAUAAUUUAGCUCAGAAGGAAGUAAUUUGAAUGAAAUUUCCAAUAUUCUCUAUUUUAAUCAUCUAUUUUUGAAUUAUUAUAGCAAGAAUGACCAACUAUUUUUUAAACUCGUAACUAAUGUAUCUUUAAUCAUUUAUAUAAAAUUCUAAUUUGUGUUUUUAAUUUCAAAUAUAGAAAAUAUAGAGUUAUUACAGAUGGUUUAACCACUUUAUUCAUAGGGUAGGCCUACAUUACAUAAUUGUUUUCAGGAUUUAUACUGAAUACAGAUCAUUAAUGUUUCAUUUCUUUUCAAGGGUUUAUAACUUUUAUAUUUUAGCUUAGUUUUCUGUUAUAGAGAUACAGCUUCAUCUGAUAAAAUAAUUUGUAGUUUUAAUUUUUAAGGUUUAUUAACUUUUUAUGUUUCAGCAUAUAAUUUUUUUAUUUCAGGACUAUACUGAAAUGCACUUCCUUGAAUCCCCAGUAUUUAAAAAAACAUUUAGUAAACUUUUUACUCUCAGGGUCUUGGAGUGUAUUCCAGUAUGGUCUUUACGUUCAAGUGGCAGUGUUUGGGUUUGUGAACGUAAAGGCCACAACCACAUUACUGCUGGCGGUCCAGUUUAUGACCACUACUGCCGCUUUUGUGAUUAUGGUCUUUAUGGUUCUUGCUGAUUUCCUAACCACUAAUUUAUUGAAUCUUUGUAAAUGAUAUAUAGAGAGAUAUGUAGCUCACUUUACUUACUCCAUCUAUCCCAGAUUCAACAUGUUGAAAACCAAAAGUAUAAGUUUUAAUUCAUUUAUUUUUCUGCAAAGUUGUUUAAUUUUACAAACUGUAUAAUAAU